GUGGGGGUGCCCUAGCCCGGUAGGGGGCUGGCCUGCUAAGCCAGUGGCUCCAAAAGAGCCUCGCGGGUUCAAAUCCCGCCCCCCACGC
rnacentral:tRNA from 1 species